UACGUAGGGACCGAGCGUUGUCCGGAAUCAUUGGGCGUAAAGAGCGUGUAGGCGGCCACUUAAGUCCUGCGUGAAAUCUUGCGGCUCAACCGCAAGCGGUCGUGGGAAACUGGAUGGCUAGAGUGCGGGAGAGGAGAGUGGAAUUCCCGGUGUAGCGGUGAAAUGCGCAGAUAUCGGGAAGAACACCCGUGGCGAAGGCGGCUCUCUGGAACGCAACUGACGCUGAGACGCGAAAGCGUGGGGAGCAACAGGG
rnacentral:rRNA from 1 species